GGUGUAGUUCAUGAAGUCCUUUUUGUGGAGGUCCCGAAAGCGAGCAGCCUCCACAGUGACUUUCGAAUGGCACUUCCUCAGUCGGUGAAGUUUGUCAUCUGACUUCUUUGAUUUUUUUAUCAGGUGACGAACCUCCCUUCUGAGGUCCCAGACCAUCGACUUUAGAGGAAUCCCCUGUGGUAGGGGGAGAGCUUCGACGGGGCACUAUCGUUGGAAG
rnacentral:lncRNA from 1 species